AUACGGAGGGUGCAAGCGUUGUUCGGAUUUACUGGGCGUAAAGGGCGUGUAGGCGGAUAUGCAAGCUGGAGGUGAAAGCCCCGGGCUCAACCCGGGAAUUGCUUUGUAGAACUGUAUGUCUAGAGAAAGUCAGAGGCAGGUGGAAUUCCAGGUGUAGAGGUGAAAUUCGUAGAGAUCUGGAGGAACACCGGCGGCGAAGGCGGCCUGCUGGGGCUUUUCUGACGCUGAGGCGCGAAAGCGUGGGGAGCAAACAGGAUUAGAAACCCCAGUAGUCC
rnacentral:rRNA from 1 species